AUCGUGUUGGCAAAGAACAGAGAAGACGCCAAAUCCCAGUUUGUACGAAGAGAAGCAUUUUCAAGCACCGACACGCCAUAUUUAUUAGCUUUUAAAACUCUUUCUAAGAAGGUUUCCAGAGCCGUGCUGUUAACGCAGCUCAGGUUGAGGAACUCGGCUUUCAGAGAGCUCAGGUCCGCUUUCAGAGACUCCUCGAUGGGCCGCUCGAUGGCUGAGAAAACAAGCGCUCCCAAUAACAGAUAUGUGAAGUACGCCAAAAUGAAGCCGAUGAGCAUAAAGCAGGACCUGAACGCCGUUGACAUGGAAUGAAAAACAAACUCGUGAUGGAGUCUGAUAUGAAGAAGAAGAAGAGGGAGAAAGUCACAUGUUGCCGAGAGGAUAGAAAUAGCUGCAGUCUCUGUCAAAACAGUUUAGUGCUUUUCUGUUCAUAUGGGAGUAAACAGACCUCGUAUGCACUCAUGACGAGGGUGUGUGAGGACAGCAGUGAGAACAGCUGCACACAGGGAACUGCUAUCUUGGUAAACAAGCCACAACGUACUCUCUGAUUAGGCAAAGUCAAACCGUUUAUGCGUUACAUCUCAUCAUGAAGGAGAUGUUCUUGAGUGUUUCAUGUUA
rnacentral:lncRNA from 1 species